rnacentral:rRNA from 1 species
CUAGCUGUAAACGAUGGAUACUAGGCGUUGAGAGUAUCGACCCUCUCAGUGUCGUAGCUAACGCGUUAAGUAUCCCGCCUGGGGAGUACGCGCGCAAGCGUGAAACUCAAAGGAAUUGACGGGGGCCCGCACAAGCGGUGGAGUAUGUGGUUUAAUUCGAUGCAGCGCGAAGAACCUUACCAGGGCUUGACAUGUCCGGAACCCUGCCCAAAGGCGGGGGUGCCUACGGGAACCGGAACACAGGUGGUGC